GAUGACGAGACGCUAAGGCGUUGAAGCAGUGUAUGUCAGACUUCCAAGAAAAGCUCGCAAUGUCAUAAAUAAAAAUGCCUGUACCAUAACCGACACAGGUGGGUAGGUAGAGUAUACUAAGGGGCGCGAGAUAACUCUCUCUAAGGAACUCGGCAAAAUGACUCCGUAACUUCGGGAGAAGGAGUGCCUUAUUUAUAAGGUUGCAAUAACAAGAUCCAAGCAACUGUUUAUCAAAAACACAGGUCUCCGCUAAGUCGUAAGACGAUGUAUGGGGGCUGACGCCUGCCCAGUGCCAGAAGGUUAAAGAAGUUGGUUAGUGUAUGCGAAGCUGAUGACUGAAGCCCUGGUGAACGGCGGCCGUAACAAUAACGGUCCUAAGGUAGCGAAAUUCCUUGUCGGGUAAGUUCCGACCCGCACGAAAGGCGUAAUGAUUUGGAUACUGUCUCGGAGAGAGGCUCGGUGAAAUAGACUUGUCUGUGAAGAUGCGGACUACCUGCACCAGGACAGAAAGACCCUAUGAAGCUUUACUGUAACUUGAAAUUGGAAUUGGACUUUGCUUGCGCAGUAUAGGUGGGAAGCGUUGAAGAUAUUCUUGCGGGAGUAUUGGAGCUAUCAGUGAGAUACCACUCUUGUAAUGUUAGAUUUCUAACUUUGAACCAUAAUCUGGUCAAAGAACAGUUUCAGGUGGGCAGUUUGACUGGGGCGGUCGCCUCCCAAAUGGUAACGGAGGCGUACAAAGGUUUCCUCUGAACGGAUAGAAAUCGUAUCUAGAGUGUAAAGGCAUAAGGAAGCUUGACUGUGAGACCUACAAGUCGAGCAGGGACGAAAGUCGGUCUUAGUGAUCUGACGGUACUGAGUGGAAAGGCCGUCACUCAACGGAUAAAAGUUACUCUAGGAUAACAGGCUGAUCUCCCCCAAGAGUUCACAUCGACGGGGAGGUUUGGCACCUCGAUGUCGGCUCAUCGCAUCCUGGGGCGGUAGUACGUCCCAAGGGUUGGGCUGUUCGCCCAUGAAAGCGGUACGCGAGCUGGGUUCAGAACGUCGUGAGACAGUUCGGUCCAUAUCCGGUGUAGGCGCUAGAAUAUUGAGAGGAGCCUUCUUUAGUACGAGAGGACCGAGAAGGACACACCGCUGGUGUACCAGUUAUCGUGCCAACGGUAAACGCUGGGUAGCUAUGUGUGGAGUGGAUAACCGCUGAAAGCAUCUAAGUGGGAAGCCCACCUCAAGAUGAGUAUUCUC
rnacentral:rRNA from 1 species